rnacentral:lncRNA from 14 species
GUACGUUUCUUCACAUCCUCCAAGUGUUGGUGCCUUCUGGUACAUCAUUUACAGGAAGCAACAGACACCUUGGAAAGGCCCCUCAUGCCUUUGCACCAAGGAAGGGCAAGGAAGGAUGGAGUUUUUCCAGUGGGGAGGCACAUCCUCAUGGUGCUGCACAGAUGUGAUCUGCCUGGGGGAUGUGGAGACACCUGGGAUCCUCAAUCCGGUCAGAUGCAAUGGGACACAUGACCAACAUGUUUUUUCACCUUUCCUGGUGUCGGGAGUCUGUUGCACGGGAGCUGUCGGCCGUGCUGUUCCAGUUCAGGGGCUCCUGCAACAGAAAAGAUCAGCUGUUGGAGAACCCAUGGAAAGCCCUGGGGGAGAGCCAUGGCCGCAAGCGACUGGAGGAAGAGAGCCCGGUAUUUACAUAUUUUGACGUUUAUCAAAUAAAACGCGGCGCCUGAAUUAAUUCUGCUCUGAU